GAUGAACGCUGGCGGCGUGCCUAAUACAUGCAAGUCGAGCGAACAGAUGAGGAGCUUGCUCCUCUGACGUUAGCGGCGGACGGGUGAGUAACACGUGGAUAACCUACCUAUAAGACUGGGAUAACUUCGGGAAACCGGAGCUAAUACCGGAUAAUAUAUUGAACCGCAUGGUUCAAUAGUGAAAGACGGUUUUGCUGUCACUUAUAGAUGGAUCCGCGCCGCAUUAGCUAGUUGGUAAGGUAACGGCUUACCAAGGCAACGAUGCGUAGCCGACCUGAGAGGGUGAUCGGCCACACUGGAACUGAGACACGGUCCAGACUCCUACGGGAGGCAGCAGUAGGGAAUCUUCCGCAAAGGGCGAAAGCCUGACGGAGCAACGCCGCGUGAGUGAUGAAGGUCUUCGGAUCGUAGAACUCUGUUAUUAGGGAAGAACAAAUGUGUAAGUAACUAUGCACGUCUUGACGGUACCUAAUCAGAAAGCCACGGCUAACUACGUG
rnacentral:rRNA from 1 species